GUGGCGCUCACGCUUCUUGCGCUCUCGGAACACGGACUCCUCCAAACACUGCAGCUGAUUCUGGAGAAACGACAGGGGCACAGCAGGACAAGCUGGGACCUCCCAGGGACCCGGGAGCUCGCGUAGGCUGUACUGCAGCCAGAGCUCAUCCAGCAACUUCCGCUGCAAACCCACCUGGUGCCGCAGGGCGUCCAGCUGCUUCACCUUCUCUCUCAGCUGGUGCUCCAGAUCUUGGUUCGCAUCUCCCGGCCUCAGCAGCAUCUGACCUGGUUGAUCCCCUCUUCCCGCCCAUUGUCUUCUUUGGUGGCUGCCAGGACCCCCGCUCCCCAGUUUGCCACACCGUCUGUCUGUCGCUUCUGCAUUUCCUUGGCCUUGGGAGAGACAGCCUCGCCUCUGUUCACACCCACCCCCUCGACGAUCCUAUCCAGUCUCAGGGGUUUAUUUUUUAUUUUAGAGACAGAGAG